rnacentral:rRNA from 1 species
UGACCAGCGGAGGGAUCAUUAAAGAGUUGCAAAACUCCCAAACCAUUGUGAACGUUACCUUUACCGUUGCUUCGGCGGGCGGCCCGGGUCCUGCCCGGCGCCCCUCGGCCCUCGCGGGCGCCCGCCGGAGGUAAACCAAACUCUUGAAUUGUAUGGCCUCUCUGAGUCUUCUGUACUGAAUAAGUCAAAACUUUCAACAACGGAUCUCUUGGUUCUGGCAUCGAUGAAGAACGCAGCGAAAUGCGAUAAGUAAUGUGAAUUGCAGAAUUCAGUGAAUCAUCGAAUCUUUGAACGCACAUUGCGCCCGCCAGUAUUCUGGCGGGCAUGCCUGUUCGAGCGUCAUUUCAACCAUCAAGCCCCGGGCUUGUGUUGGGGACCUGCGGCUGCCGCAGGCCCUGAAAACCAGUGGCGGGCUCGCUAGUCACUCCGAGCGUAGUAGUUACACCUCGCUCAGGGCGUGCUGCGGGUUCCGGCCGUUAAAAGCCUUAUUUUACCCAAGGUUGACCUCGGAUCAGGUAGGAAGACCCGCUGAACUUAAG